CGAGCACGCGAAGAACCUUACCAGGUCUUGACAUCCUUUGACCACUCUAGAGAUAGAGCUUCCCCUUCGGGGGCAAAGUGACAGGUGGUGCAUGGUUGUCGUCAGCUCGUGUCGUGAGAUGUUGGGUUAAGUCCCGCAACGAGCGCAACCCUUAUUGUUAGUUGCCAUCAUUUAGUUGGGCACUCUAGCAAGACUGCCGGUGACAAACCGGAGGAAGGUGGGGAUGACGUCAAAUCAUCAUGCCCCUUAUGACCUGGGCUACACACGUGCUACAAUGGGAAGUACAACGAGUCGCAAAGUCGCGAGGCUAAGCUAAUCUCUUAAAGCUUCUCUCAGUUCGGAUUGUAGGCUGCAACUCGCCUACAUGAAGCCGGAAUCGCUAGUAAUCGCGGAUCAGCACGCCGCGGUGAAUAC
rnacentral:rRNA from 1 species